GGAGACUACGAGCGUUACUCGGAUUCACUGGGCGUAAAGGGAGCGCAGGCGGGAUAGUGUGUUAGGUGUGAAAUGUCGGGGCUUAACUCCGGAGCUGCGCCUAAAACUAUUAUUCUAGAGUGCUGGAGAGGUAUGCGGAAUUUCCGGUGUAGCGGUAAAAUGCGCAGAUAUCGGAAGGAACACCGAAGGCGAAGGCAGCUUACUGGACAGAAACUGACGCUCAUGCUCGAAAGCGUGGGGAGCGAAAGGGAUUAGAUACCCCUGUAGUCCACGCCCUAAACGUUGUACACUAGGUAUUGGAGGAAUCAUCCCCUUCAGUGCCCCAGCUAACGCGAUAAGUGUACCGCCUGAGGACU
rnacentral:rRNA from 1 species